rnacentral:rRNA from 1 species
AUUGAACGCUGGCGGCAAGCCUAACACAUGCAAGUCGAACGAGUGGCGGCCGGGUGAGUACUGUCUGGGAAACUUCCUGAUGGAGGGGGAUCACUACUGGAAACGGUAGCUAAUACCGCAUACCAUCGGAUGUGCCCAGAUGGGGUUAGCUAGUAGGUGGGGACAAGGCUAACCGUGGCGACGAUCCCUAGCUGGUCUGAGGGGAUGACCGGCCACACUGAAAAUGAGAAACGGUCCAGGCGCCUACGGGAGGCAGGCGUGGGGAAUAUUGCACAAUGGGCGCAAGCCUGAUGCAGCCAUGCCGGGUGUAUGAAGAAGGCCUUCGGGUUGUAAAGUACUUUCAGCGGGGAGGCGUUACCGCAGAAGAAGCACCGGCUAACUCCGUGCCAGCAGCCGCGGUAAUAC